rnacentral:rRNA from 1 species
AGAGUUCGAUCCUGGCUCAGGAUGAACGCUGGCGGCGCGCCUAACACAUGCAAGUCGAACGGUUAAAGCCCCUUCGGGGGUGCAUAGAGUGGCGAACGGCUGAGUAACACGUGGGCAACCUGCCCCCCGCACCGGGACAGCCUCGGGAAACCGUGGUUAAUACCGGAUACUCCGCCUCCCCCGCAUGGGGGCGGCGGGAAAGCCCAGGCGGAGGGGGAUGGGCCCGCGGCCUGUUAGCUCGUUGGUGGGGUAACGGCCCACCAAGGCGAUGAUGGGUAGCCGGGUUGAGAGACCGACCGGCCAGAUUGGGACUGAGACACGGCCCAGACUCCUACGGGAGGCAGCAGUGGGGAAUCUUGCACAAUGGGCGAAAGCCUGAUGCAGCGACGCCGCGUGCGGGACGAAGGCCUUCGGGUCGUAAACCGCUUUCAGCAGGGACGAGGCCGCGAGGUGACGGUACCUGCAGAAGAAGCCCCGGCUAACUACGUGCCAGCAGCCGCGGUAAUACGUAGGGGGCGAGCGUUAUCCGGAUUCAUUGGGCGUAAAGCGCGCGCAGGCGGCCUGCUCGGUCGGGAGUCAAAUCCGGGGGCUCAACCCCCGCCCGCUCCCGAUACCGGCGGGCUUGAGUCUGGUAGGGGAAGGCGGAAUUCCCAGUGUAGCGGUGGAAUGCGCAGAUAUUGGGAAGAACACCGGUGGCGAAGGCGGCCUUCUGGGCCACGACUGACGCUGAGGCGCGAAAGCUAGGGGAGCGAACAGGAUUAGAUACCCUGGUAGUCCUAGCCGUAAACGAUGGACACUAGGUGUGGGGGGAGGAUCCCUCCGUGCCGCAGCCAACGCAUUAAGUGUCCCGCCUGGGGAGUACGGCCGCAAGGCUAAAACUCAAAGGAAUUGACGGGGGCCC